GAUGAAGAACGCAGCGAAACGCGAUAAGUAAUGCGAAUUGCAGAAUUCAGUGAGUCAUCGAAUCUUUGAACGCACAUUGCGCCCUGUGGUAUUCCGCAGGGCAUGCCUGUUCGAGCGUCAUUUCAACCCUCAAGCUCUGCUUGGUGUUGGGCCCUGCCCGCUGCGGCCGGCCCUAAAGACAGUGGCGGUGCCGCCUGGCCCUGAGCGUAGUACAUCUCUCGCUCCAGUGCCCGGUGGUAGCCUGCCAGAACCCCAACUCUCGUGGUUGACCUCGGAUCAGGUAGGGAUACCCGCUGAACUUAAGCAUAUCAAUAAGCGGAGGA
rnacentral:misc_RNA from 1 species